rnacentral:lncRNA from 1 species
AACGCUUUCCUUGUACAACACACAAAUCGGUCAAGACAUGAUUCUUCUCCUCAUAAAUAGCUUUCUUGUAGUACAAGGAUUUCAAUCUCUAUACAGAAUAUUUUACUAUCAUAAUUAGGCUUGAUGAUUCAUAUAAAUAUGUAACUGAUUAAUAUGAUCCCUUGCUUUGAUUUGCAAUUAAGAAAAUGGUAAAAUGUAAAUUAAGAAGAUAAUAAAAAGAGAUUUGAAAUUAAGAAAAUGGUAAGAUGUUAUUAUUUGUUAGCACCGGCAAACAACCAACACAUUGUCAUUG